rnacentral:rRNA from 1 species
UGCAGUCGAACGGGAAGCUCAGAACCUAGUUUUGAGUGGAGAGUGGCGCACGGGUGAGUAACACGUAACUGACCUGCCCUGGAGAGCGGGAUAACGCGCUGAAAAGCGCGCUAAUACCGCAUAAGCUCACGCGAGUUAGAGAGGCGUGAGAAAAUGCUGAGGCGCUUCAGGAUGGGGUUGCGGUCCAUCAGCUAGUUGGUGCGGUAACGGCGCACCAAGGCGACAACGGAUAGGGGACCUGAGAGGGUGACCCCCCACACUGGGACUGAGACACGGCCCAGACUCCUACGGGAGGCAGCAGUGAGGAAUAUUGCACAAUGGGCGCAAGCCUGAUGCAGCGACGCCGCGUGGGUGAUGAAGGUUUUCGAAUCGUAAAGCCCUUUUCUUGGUGACGAGGAAGGACGGUAACCAAGGAAUAAGUGUCGGCUAACUACGUGCCAGCAGCCGCGGUAAAACGUAGGACGCAAGCGUUAUCCGGAAUUACUGGGCGUAAAGCGCGCGCAGGCGGGCUGGUCAGUCAGCUAUGAAAGCUCCCGGCUAAACUGGGAGAGGAUGGUUGAAACUGCCAGUCUGGAGUACAGCAGAGGAACGUGGAAUUCCGCGUGUAGUGGUGAAAUGCGUAGAGAUGCGGAGGAACACCAGUGGCGAAGGCGGCGUUCUGGGCUGCUACUGACGCUGAGGCGCGAAAGCAUGGGGAGCGAACGGGAUUAGAAACCCCGGUAGUCCAUGCCGUANACGAUGCACACUAAACGUUCGCAAGGCUACGGUCUUGUGAGUGUUGAAGCAAACGCGAUAAGUGUGCCGCCUGGGGAGUACGGUCGCAAGGCUAAAACUCAAAGGAAUUGA